CACUCAUUCAGCAACAGCAGCACCACCACCACCACCAGCAGCAGCGGACAGCCCUGAGGAGGAUGGGGCCUGCUGGGACUCGUCUCCUGCUAUGCUUCAGCUCCUGCCCAAUCACUUACCUGUGCCAGGAGAAGCCUCUGGACAUGCCUGGGCAGCCUCUGGACAUGCACUGCUCCCAUUCCUCGCUGAGAGGGCAUCUCCCCGAGUGCCUCUCCAUCCCAGUAGACUCUCCAGAUGUGCCCAGUCCUCAACUGGUGUGGCCUCACCAGAGAGACUCAGACCAAACAGGCCUCCACAGCCUCUCUCUAGACACUUUCUGGGAAACCACAGUGGAAUACAAAAGGUCCUCAUUUGCCCUGAACCCUGGGAAGCCCUGUGGCAUUGGUUCAUGAGUGCUGUGGUUGGUUAUUUGGAACUUAAUUCUCUUGGUAUUUGCCACUUCCCAGUUGUCCCCUUUACUGUUCACAGUCCCCACCUAUAAUCCUCGGCUUCCUGGCACUUCCGGAGCCCAUAUUAACGUACCAAUUUUUUGUACCCCAUUUAGGGCACCAACUGUUCUGAUCUCUUGAAGAGCUCCUCAGGCAACCUUCUGUUUCUAGCAAGAUGAUACACCCAAGCCUUGAUGACAAGGCUUGGCUCUCAACCUCCUUGCUCCCCACCUCCUGUGAAAUACACAAAGAAAUUCAGUGAUCAUCGGGGAUGCUCUGGUCCAAACACUACCUGCCAGCCAGACGCAGGAGAUGGAUGGCUCAGCAGUAAUCGUGCUGCUUGAGCUUGGUGUCUAAUGGGGACAGUAGUGACAGGAAGUUCACAGGGACUGGAAGACAUGAGUUCUCUGAGGGAAAGGAAGGUGAAGCCUGGUGCUUAGGACCCUCAGGAGACCAUAGGAUGUGAGAAGGCUCAAGACACCCAGAGGUGGGGUCAGAAACAGGGCAAAGGAGACCAAGCAUGGGAGAGCUGCAGUGGACGUGUACAGACAGGAGAAGCAGGCCCUAAAGAAUCCCUGAGGCGGCAGAGAGGCUGGGCUGUGGAACUUUUUAAUUACUUUGCAUUAGGGGACUGUAGAGACCCAGAAGCCCACCCUUCCCCUCCCCUCAUCAGCUUAGCCCCAACAUAUGGUGGCUACCAAAGUAGUUAAAUCGGCUCUUGGUAGAAAAGGAAAGAGAUUCCUCCCAGGCUCUUCCCAGGGUCCACGGCCACACUCCAGGAGGGCUCAACUCCAGGGCAAGGCAGCUGGGACAGCAGGCAGCUGAAGGAGGACUAUUACUGCACCUUAGGGAAGAGUGCAGUGGCGAGUGGGGAGGACUCUGCUGGGACCCGGGGGUCAUGUGCAUUCCCAUUUAGUUGAGCUCUGCUUAAUCCGGGCCUAGGCUCACAGUAAUGGGGAACGAGGAGAGGCUCCCAUCAGAGACCAAGAAGAUGACAGACUCUCUGUAAAGGCUGUCAGAGGGGUCUGCAUGACCAACCACACCUGCUCCUGUUCCUUUGGGGCUCUUGUGACCUCCCUGUCUUCUUGUGAGAUCUUAUGUUCCUCCAACCCUGAGAGCUACAAACCAAUCUCCGGAAUAAAAAAAUCUGUCCCUCGUG
rnacentral:lncRNA from 1 species